AGCAGCCGCGGUAAUUCCAGCUCCAAUAGCGUAUAUUAAAGUUGUUGCAGUUAAAAAGCUCGUAGUUGAAUUUCGGGGUUAGUAGGUUGGUCAUGCCUCAGGUAUGCACUGGUCUCACUGAUUCCUCCUUCCUGAUGAGCCGUAAUGCCAUUAAUUUGGUGUUGCGGGGAAUCUGGACUGUUACUUUGAAAAAAUUAGAGUGUUUAAAGCAGGCUAACGCUUGAAUACAUUAGCAUGGAAUAAUGGAAUAGGACGUUCGAUCCUAUUUUGUUGGUUUCUAGGAUUGACGUAAUGAUUAAUAGGGAUAGUUGGGGGCAUUAGUAUUCAAUUGUCAGAGGUGAAAUUCUUGGAUUUAUUGAAGACUAACUACUGCGAAAGCAUUUGCCAAGGAUGUUUUCAUUAAUCAAGAACGAAAGUUAGGGGAUCGAAGACGAUCAGAUACCGUCGUAGUCUUAACCAUAAACUAUGCCGACUAGGGAUCGGA
rnacentral:sRNA from 1 species